GCGGGCAUAGUAUAUCGGUUUAUUAUAUUAGCCUUCCAAGCUAAUGAGAUGGGUUCGAUUCCCAUUGCCCGCU
rnacentral:tRNA from 1 species